AUGGGCACAGCUGGACACAGAGUCUGGGCUGGGCACGGGAAUGGGCACAGCUGGACACUGAGUCUUGGCUGGGCACGGGAGGGGGCACGGCUGGACCGUGAGUCUGGGCUGGGCACGGGAGGGGGCACAGCUGGACACAGAGUCUGGGCUGGGCACGGGAAUGGGCACAGAGUCUUGGCUGGCCAUGGCUGGGCACAGCUGGAUAGGCUCUGUUCAUGGCACAGGAGUGGGCACAGCUGGACACAGAGCCUGGGCUGGGCACAGCUGGACACUGAGCCAAGGGUGGGGACACAGAGUCGGGGUUGGGAAGGGGGUCUGAGCUCAUGGAGGCCCAAGGCCCAGUUUUUCCUGCCAAGGAGUUGCCCCUGGAGCUCCUCCUGCCAGGCCCAAGGGGCAGCAGAGGGCAGGAGCAGGGAAUGGUGCAGUUGGUCUGGUUGGGAACAUGGAGAUCAUGGAGUCCAACCGUCCCCAGCACUGCCAGGGCCACCACUGCCCAUGUCCCCGCGUGCCACAUCCACACAGCUUUGAAAUCCCUCUGGGGGUUGGGGACUCCAGCCUGUGCCAGGCCUGGGGAGCCCUUUCCAGGAGGAAUUUUCCCAAUAUCCAGCCUAAACCUUCCCUGCUGCAACUCGAGGCCAUUUCCUCUCAUCCUGUCCCUCGCUGGGAUUAGAGCCACCCUGGGUCCUUUCCUUGGGGCUGUGGUGACCCUGGGCAGGACCAGGCCCUUGGUUGGAUCAGGUUCUGGAGGUGUCCCUUUUACAGAAUCCCAGGAUUUUGGGUGGGAAUGGCCUUUUCCUGGGCUUGAGGUGACUCAAGGCCCUUGGUUGGAUUGGGUUCUGGAGGUGUCCCUUAUACAGAAUCCCAGGAUUUUGGGUGGGAAUGUCCUUUUCCUGGGCUUGAGGUGACUCAAGGCACUGGUGGAUCAGGUUCUGGAGGUGUCCCUUUUACAGAAUCCCAGGAUUUUGGGUGGGAAUGUCCUUUUCCUGGGCUUGAGGUGACUCAAGGCCCUUGGUUGGAUUGGUUCUGGAGAUGUCCCUUUUACAGAAUCCCAGGAUUUUGGGUGGGAAUGUCCUUUUCCUGGGGCUUUACCAUGGAUAGGACUAUGCCUUUGAUUGGAUUGGGUUCUGAAGGUGCCCUUGCCACAGAAUCCUGGGAUUUUGGGUGGAAAGGUGUUUUCCUGGGGUUGAGGUGACCCCGAGCAGGAUAAGACACAUGGUUGGGUCAGCUGUGGUUGCUGCAGUCCCUGUCACAGAUCCCAGGAUUUUGGGUGGGAGUGUCCUUUUUCUGAGGCUGUGGUGACCCUGGGCAGGACCAGGCCCUUGGUUGGAUCGGGUUCUGGAGGUGUCUCUUUACAGAAUCCCAGGAUUUUGGGUGGGAAUGUCCUUUUCCUCGGCUUGAGGUGACUCAAGGCCCUUGGUUGGAUCGGGUUCUGGAGAUGUCCCUUUUACAGAAUCCCAGGAUUUUGGGUGGGAAGGUGUUUUCUUGAGGCUGAGGUAACUCCAGCCACUUGGUUGGAUCAGGUGCUGAGAUGUCCUUCCCCAGAAUCCCAGGAUUUUGGGUAGGAAUGUCCUUGUCCUGGGCUGAGGUGACUCCGGGCCCCGGGUGGGGCUGGGUGCAGGAGGUGUCUCUUUACAGAAUCCCAGGAUUUUGGGUGGGAAUGUCCUUGUCCUGGGCUGAGGUGACUCCGGGCCCUGGGUGGGGCUGGGUGCCGGAGGUGUCUCUUUCCAGAAUCCCAGGAUUUUGGGUGGGAAUGUCCUUGUCCUGAGCUGAGGUGACUCGGGGCCCCGGGUGGGGCUGGGUUCCAAAGGUGUCCUACCCCAGAAUCCCAGGAUUUUGGGUAGGAAUGUCCUUGUCCUGGGCUGAGGUGACUCCGGGCCCCGGGUGGGGCUGGGUGCAGGAGGUGUCUCUUUACAGAAUCCCAGGAUUUUGGGUGGGAAUGUCCUUGUCCUGGGCUGAGGUGACUCCGGGCCCCGGGUGGGGCUGGGUGCCGGAGGUGUGCCCGUCCCGUUGCCACGGCAGCCGUUCC